rnacentral:rRNA from 1 species
AAUUGUUAGUGGCAGACGGGUGAGUAAUGCGUAGGAAUCUACCUAGUAGUAUGGAAUAGCCAUUAGAAAUGAUGGGUAAUACUGUAUAAUCCCUGCGGGGGAAAGAUUUAUCGCUAUUAGAUGAGCCUACGUUAGAUUAGCUAGUUGGUAAGGUAAUGGCUUACCAAGGCUAUGAUCUAUAGCUGGUCUGAGAGGACGAUCAGCCACACUGGAACUGAGAUACGGUCCAGACUCCUACGGGAGGCAGCAGUGGGGAAUAUUGGACAAUGGGCGAAAGCCUGAUCCAGCUAUGCCGCGUGAGUGAAGAAGGCCUU